CAGCAUAGUCAGUUAAAUUUGAAUUUCAGAUAAACAAUGAAAAACAGUUUAGUGUAAGUGUAUCCCACUCAAUAUUUGGGACAUACUUAUGCUAAAAAAUUAGGUGGUGUUUUAUCUGAAUUUCAAAUUUAACUGGGCAUACUGUA
rnacentral:miRNA from 1 species